rnacentral:rRNA from 1 species
UACGUAGGGUGCAAGCGUUGUCCGGAAUUAUUGGGCGUAAAGAGCUUGUAGGCGGUUUGUCGCGUCUGCUGUGAAAAUCCGGGGCUCAACCCCGGACUUGCAGUGGGUACGGGCAGACUAGAGUGUGGUAGGGGAGACUGGAAUUCCUGGUGUAGCGGUGAAAUGCGCAGAUAUCAGGAGGAACACCGAUGGCGAAGGCAGGUCUCUGGGCCACUACUGACGCUGAGAAGCGAAAGCGUGGGGAGCAAACAGG